rnacentral:snRNA from 1 species
CCCCAUCGUCUAGUGGUUCAGGACAUCUC